rnacentral:rRNA from 1 species
GACGAACGCUGGCGGCGUGCUUAACACAUGCAAGUCGAACGGAAAGGCCCUGCUUUUGUGGGGUGCUCGAGUGGCGAACGGGUGAGUAACACGUGAGUAACCUGCCCUUGACUUUGGGAUAACUUCAGGAAACUGCGGCUAAUACCGGAUAGGAGCUCCUGCUGCAUGGUGGGGGUUGGAAAGUUUCGGCGGUUGGGGAUGGACUCGCGGCUUAUCAGCUUGUUGGUGGGGUAGUGGCUUACCAAGGCUUUGACGGGUAGCCGGCCUGAGAGGGUGACCGGCCACAUUGGGACUGAGAUACGGCCCAGACUCCUACGGGAGGCAGCAGUGGGGAAUAUUGCACAAUGGGCGGAAGCCUGAUGCAGCAACGCCGCGUGCGGGAUGACGGCCUUCGGGUUGUAAACCGCUUUCGCCUGUGACGAAGAGUGAGUGACGGUAAUGGGUAAAGAAGCACCGGCUAACUACGUG